GAGGUUGGACUAAGUGGGUGCUGUUGUCACUGGGCUCCAAAGGACGGUGAUUCUGUGUUGCUAUGGGGAUGAGGUUAUGUGACUCACACGCACAGCAUGUUCUGUUGCUAAGCUACAAAAGUUAGAAGUUCUUGGGUCUACUCUGAGGGGACAAAGUGUAUGGAGGUGUGAUUUACAGAAGAGAGAAAGGUGCUCUCCAGAGGAGGAGACUGGAGCUGCCUUAUGAGCUCGCCUCGUCGGAGCCCACCGUCCCCUGGAGGUGCGUACACGGACCACUUGGACUCCGGCAUAAAUCCAUUUUGGCUCAUACACUUUGUAAAAAUCUUGAAUAGAAUUUGAUAAAACUUCUGACGUUUCUCGGUGUAGUUUUGAUUUUCGGCGGACACAACAUCUUUGUAUGUGGUGCUGAGGAUGGAACCCGGGCCGAACGCAUGCCAGGCGAGCGCGCUACCGCUUGAGCCACAUCUCCAGCCCUUAAGAGAUUACUUUUAAUUAUUUAAUACCAUAAAUUCAAAAGUAAGUGGGACAAUAGUCUAGAAAAAUGUAAAUUACUAAAAUUGACAAACACCUCAAAUGAACUACAUAUGCAUAUUACAGAGAUUUUAAGUAGAAUUUGAUAAAAUUAAAAAAA